rnacentral:rRNA from 1 species
GCCAGACUCCUACGGGAGGCAGCAGUGGGGGAUAUUGCACAAUGGGGGGAACCCUGAUGCAGCGACGCCGCGUGGGUGAAGGAGCGUUUCGGCGCGUAAAGCCCUAUCGGCAGGGAAGAAGGAGGACGGUACCUGACUAAGAAGCCCCGGCUAACUACGUGCCAGCAGCCGCGGUAAUACGUAGGGGGCAAGCGUUAUCCGGAUUUACUGGGCGUAAAGGGAGCGCAGGCGGUUCUGCAAGUCUGAUGUGAAAGCCCGGGGCUCAACCGCGGGACCGCAUUGGAAACUGCGGGACUGGAGUGUCGGAGGGGUAAGCGGAAUUCCUGGUGUAGCGGUGAAAUGCGUAGAUAUCAGGAGGAACACCGGUGGCGAAGGCGGCUUACUGGACGAUGACUGACGCUGAGGCUCGAAAGCGUGGGGAGCAAACAGGAUUAGAUACCCUGGUAC